ensembl:snoRNA
GCAGACUCACUCUGCACCUGGCUGCAGCCCCAGGCGGGUGCUUUUUCUGUCUGCUAGAGAAACAGUUCCAAGGUGCUGUGGCCCCCUUGACCAGUCAGGGGUAAUACAGCUGCCUGGGGGUACAGCU